rnacentral:misc_RNA from 1 species
CGCAGCCGCGGUAAUUCCAGCUCCAAUAGCGUAUAUUAAAGUUGUUGCAGUUAAAAAGCUCGUAGUUGAAUUUCGGGAUUAAUAUGUUGGUCGUGCCUUGGUACGUACUGGCAUUAUUGAUUCCUACCUUCUGAAGAACCUCGAUGUCAUUAAUUUGGUGUCUUGGGGAAUCAGGACCGUUACUUUGAAAAAAUUAGAGUGUUUAAAGCAGGCUCGCGCUUGAAUACAUUAGCAUGGAAUAAUGAAAUAGGACGUUUGAUUCUAUUUUGUUGGUUUCUAGGAUCGACGUAAUGAUUAAUAGGGAUAGUUGGGGGCAUUAGUAUUCAAUUGUCAGAGGUGAAAUUCUUGGAUUUAUUGAAGACUGACUACUGCGAAAGCAUUUGCCAAGGAUGUUUUCAUUAAUCAAGAACGAAAGUUAGGGGAUCGAAGACGAUCAGAUACCGUCGUAGUCUUAACCAUAAACUAUGCCGACUAGGGAUCGGAUGAUGUUAAUUUUUAAUGACUCAUUCGGCGCCUUAC